rnacentral:rRNA from 1 species
AACGAACGCUGGCGGCAUGCCUAACACAUGCCAGUCGAACGAGAUCUUCGGGUCUAGUGGCGCACGGGUGCGUAACGCGUGGGAACCUGCCCUUAGGUUCGGAAUAACUCCCCGAAAGGGGUGCUAAUACCGGAUAAUGUCUUCGGACCAAAGAUUUAUCGCCUUUGGAUGGGCCCGCGUUGGAUUAGCUAGUUGGUAGGGUAAAAGCCUACCAAGGCGACGAUCCAUAGCUGGUCUGAGAGGAUGAUCAGCCACACUGGGACUGAGACACGGCCCAGACUCCUACGGGAGGCAGCAGUGGGGAAUAUUGGACAAUGGGCGAAAGCCUGAUCCAGCAAUGCCGCGUGAGUGAUGAAGGCCUUAGGGUUGUAAAGCUCUUUUACCCGGGAUGAUAAUGACAGUACCGGGAGAAUAAGCUCCGGCUAACUCCGUG